rnacentral:rRNA from 1 species
UACGGGGGGGGCAAGCGUUGUUCGGAAUUACUGGGCGUAAAGGGCGCGUAGGCGGCCUGCUAAGUCGGAUGUGAAAUCCCUCGGCUCAACCGAGGAACUGCAUCCGAUACUGGCGGGCUUGAAUCCGGGAGAGGGAUGUGGAAUUCCAGGUGUAGCGGUGAAAUGCGUAGAUAUCUGGAGGAACACCGGUGGCGAAGGCGGCGUUCUGGACUGUUUCUGACACUGUAAAACGAAAGCCAGGGGAGCAAACGGG